rnacentral:rRNA from 1 species
GAAGGUGUGUCGUGAGGCAUGCUGGAGGUAUCAGAAGUGCGAAUGCUGACAUAAGUAACGAUAAAGCGGGUGAAAAGCCCGCUCGCCGGAAGACCAAGGGUUCCUGUCCAACGUUAAUCGGGGCAGGGUGAGUCGACCCCUAAGGCGAGGCCGAAAGGCGUAGUCGAUGGGAAACGGGUUAAUAUUCCCGUACUUGGUGUUACUGCGAAGGGGGGACGGAGAAGGCUAUGUUGGCCGGGCGACGGUUGUCCCGGUUUAAGCGUGUAGGUGUGUGUUCCAGGUAAAUCCGGUUCACUUUAACACUGAGGCGUGACGACGAGGCACUACGGUGCUGAAGCAACAAAUGCCCUGCUUCCAGGAAAAGCCUCUAAGCAUCAGGUAACAUCAAAUCGUACCCCAAACCGACACAGGUGGUCAGGUAGAGAAUACCAAGGCGCUUGAGAGAACUCGGGUGAAGGAACUAGGCAAAAUGGUGCCGUAACUUCGGGAGAAGGCACGCUGACACGUAGGUGAAGUGAUUUACUCAUGGAGCUGAAGUCAGUCGAAGAUACCAGCUGGCUGCAACUGUUUAUUAAAAACACAGCACUGUGCAAACACGAAAGUGGACGUAUACGGUGUGACGCCUGCCCGGUGCCGGAAGGUUAAUUGAUGGGGUCAGCGCAAGCGAAGCUCCUGAUCGAAGCCCCGGUAAACGGCGGCCGUAACUAUAACGGUCCUAAGGUAGCGAAAUUCCUUGUCGGGUAAGUUCCGACCUGCACGAAUGGCGUAAUGAUGGCCAGGCUGUCUCCACCCGAGACUCAGUGAAAUUGAACUCGCUGUGAAGAUGCAGUGUACCCGCGGCAAGACGGAAAGACCCCGUGAACCUUUACUAUAGCUUGACACUGAACAUUGAGCCUUGAUGUGUAGGAUAGGUGGGAGGCUUUGAAGUGUGGACGCCAGUCUGCAUGGAGCCGACCUUGAAAUACCACCCUUUAAUGUUUGAUGUUCUAACGUGGACCCGUUACCCGGGUUGCGGACAGUGUCUGGUGGGUAGUUUGACUGGGGCGGUCUCCUCCUAAAGAGUAACGGAGGAGCACGAAGGUUGGCUAAUCCUGGUCGGACAUCAGGAGGUUAGUGCAAUGGCAUAAGCCAGCUUGACUGCGAGCGUGACGGCGCGAGCAGGUGCGAAAGCAGGUCAUAGUGAUCCGGUGGUUCUGAAUGGAAGGGCCAUCGCUCAACGGAUAAAAGGUACUCCGGGGAUAACAGGCUGAUACCGCCCAAGAGUUCAUAUCGACGGCGGUGUUUGGCACCUCGAUGUCGGCUCAUCACAUCCUGGGGCUGAAGUAGGUCCCAAGGGUAUGGCUGUUCGCCAUUUAAAGUGGUACGCGAGCUGGGUUUAGAACGUCGUGAGACAGUUCGGUCCCUAUCUGCCGUGGGCGCUGGAGAACUGAGGGGGGCUGCUCCUAGUACGAGAGGACCGGAGUGGACGCAUCACUGGUGUUCGGGUUGUCAUGCCAAUGGCACUGCCCGGUAGCUAAAUGCGGAAGAGAUAAGUGCUGAAAGCAUCUAAGCACGAAACUUGCCCCGAGAUGAGUUCUCCCUGAGACUUAGAGUCUCCUGAAGGAACGUUGAAGACGACGACGUUGAUAGGCCGGG